rnacentral:rRNA from 1 species
GACGAACCGUGCGAACGUUGUUCGAAAUCACUGGGCUUAAAGGGCGCGUAGGCGGGCUCACAAGUCAGGGGUGAAAUCCCACGGCUCAACCGUGGAAGUGCCUUUGAUACUGUGGGCCUCGAGGGAGGUAGGGGCGUGCGGAACUUCCGGUGGAGCGGUGAAAUGCGUAGAUAUCGGAAGGAACACCGGUGGCGAAAGCGGCGCGCUGGACCUCUUCUGACGCUGAGGCGCGAAAGCCAGGGGAGCAAACGGG